ensembl:lncRNA
CACUUAAUGAGGAUAUCUACAUGCAAUAUGCAAAAUUACAUUAAAUAUUACAUAAAUAUUUCUAUUAGGAAACUCCAAGGGAGGAGCAAGGCUAACAAAGUUAAUGACUUGAUGUCAGAAGUCAGCAAUGGAAGAUCUGAGGCAGGAAGGAAGCACAGCAGCCUCCCGCUCCUAUGCAGGAUAACUAGGAAGGCGCUGCUUUAGCAAGAGCAUCAUUCCGACCACACUUUUGUCAGGCUCUGAAUAGAAGGUCACCAUCUCCCUCAUUUUUCCCUUCCAAUCAAUAUUUAGUCUGCUCAGCAGCUGCUAGAGCUGGCUGCCUCUGAACUUCAUUGCUGUAAGUUACUGAGAAACUGGCUUAUUAUGACAACGCAGAUCUCCCAGCAGAUCUGACCUGCAGCGGCUGCCCUGUCUCUUUCAAUCUACUCCAAAAUACAGAGAUGGCUCCAGUGCACAGAAUUUACUGUACAAAUCUGCGGAGAAAGGCUUGAUCAAUAGGAAAAGUAACAGGCUACGAGGGGAUUUGGGGCCAAAUAUGUUACAUAAUACAAAAAUUGGUCUAAUAAUGUUCAGGUAACUAAUUAAAAAAUGACCCUGUGUGAACUCAUUGGUUAAAAACAUGAAGUCUUACUUCAUCAUCUUUUACAAAACAAAGUUCCAGCACAAACAAAUAUUUUUGAAGGUUGUUUCACUUUUCAGAAGACCUUGGGCAAGACACAAGUUAUCUGUAGUGGCAGAAACCAGACGGAAGUUUUUUUGAGAUAUGUUAGAUAAACUCUCAGUAACAGGGUGAUUUUAGUAAAAAAUAUUGUGCAGACUCAGGAAUUUACAGGUGUAAAUGCAGUCAUUCACAGUAUGCAUAACAGUAUACACAAAUUUUAGAGCCUUGGUUAGUAGCUGGAUGGUAAGAAAGUUCUAAACCUACCACUGCAGUAGUGGUGGCUUAAAUCAGGAGGUACACUGAGUGAGCAAGGUGGAAAAAUUACUUGCCAUGCUUUUUUAGAUAACUCACAAGAAGUUAUUCUGACCAGGCUACUAGUUUUACAGUGCAUUUACUAAUAAUUUUACACAUUAAAAUACUUCCCUUAAUUUAAUUGUACUUGAUUUUUACAGUAAAGUGAGAAUUUUCAAUCACAAAUUUCAGAUUGUCUGUUUAGAAACCAGAUUAUUGUUAUAACAUAGAAGACCUCCAGCCACUGCAAGUGGACCUUCAGUGUGGAUGCAUGCAUUCAGUCCAGUUAUUCGCUGAUAAUACAGUUGUUUCAGACAUUAGAUACUGUUGAAAAGCAGUAUGAUACCUUUAGAAUAUCCCACCUCUUUUACUUCAGUGUAAAACUAUGGGAUCUAACUAAUGCACAAAACAUAAAACAUUUAAAGAAAAGGCAAUGAAAAACUUUUAUUUUCUUGUGAUCAUCUACUUUGAGAUCUUUUGGCUUUGCAGAGACCAGCUACAAAUCUGCUUGUAAAUUUUCAACGGGAUAAACACAAUUUUCGAUGGUGUAUCUUGACACUGAAAUGAGAUAGAACAACUGGUUCUGGAAGAAAAAAGAAGAAUUGAGACUGAGAAUCAUUGACCAGAGCAUACCAUUAAUGAUAAAAAUAGUAACAAAAAUAUAGCAGUGUAUCCUAAAUCCUAAUCCUGUAAUCCUAAAAAUAAAACCAAAAAAACACCACCA